rnacentral:rRNA from 1 species
UACAGAGGUCUCAAGCGUUGUUCGGAUUCAUUGGGCGUAAAGGGUGCGUAGGUGGUGAUGCAAGUCUGGUGUGAAAUCUCGGAGCUCAACUCCGAAAUUGCACCGGAUACUGCGUGACUCGAGGACUGUAGAGGAGAUCGGAAUUCACGGUGUAGCAGUGAAAUUCGUAGAUAUCGUGAGGAAGACCAGUUGCGAAGGCGGAUCUCUGGGCAGUUCCUGACACUGAGGCACGAAGGCCAGGGGAGCAAACGGG